UACGGAGGGGGCGAGCGUUAUUCGGAAUUAUUGGGCGUAAAGGGCGCGUAGGCGGCUGUACAAGUCAAAGGUGAAAUCCCUCGGCUCAACUGAGGAACUGCCUUUGAAACUGUACGGCUUGAGGCCGGGAGGGGGUAGCGGAAUUCCCAGUGUAGCGGUGAAAUGCGUAGAUAUUGGGAGGAACACCAGUGGCGAAGGCGGCUACCUGGACCGGUUCUGACGCUGAGGCGCGAAAGCGCGGGUAGCAAACAGG
rnacentral:rRNA from 1 species